UAACUCCAUUGGUAGAGCAUGAGACUCUUAAUCUCAGGGUUGUGGGUUCAAGACCCAC
rnacentral:tRNA from 1 species